rnacentral:rRNA from 1 species
AGUGAACGCUGGCGGUAGGCCUAACACAUGCAAGUCGAACGGCAGCACAGUAAGAGCUUGCUGUUAUGGGUGGCGAGUGGCGGACGGGUGAGGAAUACAUCGGACUCUACUUUUUCGUGGGGGAUAACGAGGGGAAACUUACGCUAAUACCGCAUACGACCUACGGGUGAAAGCAGGGGAUCUUCGGCCCUUGUGCGAUUGCAUGAGCCGUUGUCGGUUUAGCUAGUUGGCGGGGCAAAGGCCCACCAAGGCGACGAUCCGUAGCUGGUCUGAGAGGAUGAUCGGCCACACUGGAACGGGGACGCCGUCCAGGCGCCUACGGGACGCAGCAGUCGCGAAUAUUGGACAGUGGGCGCAAGCCUUAUCCAGCCAUCCCGCGUGUGUGAAGAAGGCCUUCGGUUUGUAAAGCCCUUUUGUUGGGAAAGAAAAGCAGCAGGUUAAUACCCCGCUGUUCUGACGGUACCCAAAGAAUAAGCACCGGCUAACUUCGUG